GUUGCGUUGAGUUUUGGGGAAAGAAUUUUAUCCAAGGAGCAUGACGCGCCGUCAUGGGGUGUCGGGGGGCGGAGGUUCGAAUCCUCUCAUGCCGACCA
rnacentral:tRNA from 1 species